rnacentral:misc_RNA from 1 species
CGUCGUCGAUCGUCCCAUUCGACCGCUCGUUCCCUCGUGUUUCGACCGAAGGCGCGCGCGGGCAUGGGUCGGUCUUGAUGUCGGGACGACCGUUCCAGCACGUGAGCGGUGAUGGGGUGUGCGUGCGUCGACGGGCUCCGUGCCACCGUGCACCUGACCGCCGUCGCCUCCUCCCCUUCAUUGUCCCUCUCGAGCCGUUGUGUGUUCGUGCCUCUCGAGUUGCCUGCGCGAUCUACCGGAUUUGUCGCUCGGAAAAGUGAGAUCUUGCCCACAAGCACCUCCGCUCACUCUCUGCCCCGCGCUGCAGUUGGAGCGGCUACGCAACCGUUGCCCCGAUGCUCGCUCGGAUGAUGGUGCGCCUUCGGGCGGCCGUCGUCCUUCGUCAUGGAGCCUUUGGUGGUUUCGGUCAGCGCUCUCGGGCCUGGCAAAUAAGUCUUCCGGCUAGGGCGCUGCGUCGCUGCCCUGCCGUGAACUCUCUUUCUGGGUUGGUCGGUCGCCCUCGGUUCGGGCGACGCUCUGCUCCUCGUCGCGCCCCCCUCCGCCACCGUCCCCGCCCUUGGCGUCGGACGGGUGCUGGGUGGAGGGCGCGGCGCGUGGUGGACGACG